rnacentral:tRNA from 1 species
GCUCAGUGGUAGAGUGCAUGCCUAGCAUACAUGAGGUCCUGGGUUCAAUCCCCAG